AAAACACAGGUGCUGCAUGGCUGUCGUCAGCUCGUGUCGUGAGAUGUUGGGUUAAGUCCGCAACGAGCGCAACCCUCACUUUUAGUUGCCAUCAUUAAGUUGGGCACUCUGAAAGAACUGCCAGUGAUAAGCUGGAGGAAGGUGGGGAUGACGUCAAGUCCUCAUGGCCCUUACGUGUUGGGCUACACACGUGCUACAAUGGUAUCUACAACAGGAAGCAAGACGGCGACGUUAAGCAAAUCCUUAAAAGAUACCUCAGUUCGGAUUGCACUCUGCAACUCGAGUGCAUGAAGCUGGAAUUACUAGUAAUCGUGGAUCAGCGUGC
rnacentral:rRNA from 1 species